UGACGCUGAGGCGCGAAAGUGUGGGGAGCAAACAGGAUUAGAUACCCUGGUAGUCCACACUGUAAACGAUGAAUGCUAGGUGUAGGAGGUAUCGACCCCUUCUGUGCCGCAGUCAACACAAUAAGCAUUCCGCCUGGGGAGUACGGCCGCAAGGUUGAAACUCAAAGGAAUUGACGGGGGCCCGCACAAGCAGCGGAGCAUGUGGUUUAAUUCGACGCAACGCGAAGAACCUUACCAGGUCUUGACAUCCAGUAAAAGCCAUAGAGAUAUGGUGUGUCUUCGGACAUACUGAGACAGGUGGUGCAUGGUUGUCGUCAGCUCGUGUCGUGAGAUGUUGGGUUAAGUCCCGCAACGAGCGCAACCCUUGUGUUCAGUUGCUAACAGGCAAAGCUGAGAACUCUGAACAGACUGCCGGGGAUAACUCGGAGGAAGGUGGGGACGACGUCAAAUCAUCAUGCCCCUUAUGACCUGGGCUACACACGUGCUACAAUGGCCACCACAGAGAGGAGCGAAAGCGCAAGCCGGAGCAGAUCUCAAAAAAGUGGUCCCAGUUCGGAUUGUGGGCUGCAACCCGCCCACAUGAAGUCGGAGUUGCUAGUA
rnacentral:rRNA from 1 species